GACGAACGCUGGCGGCGUGCUUAACACAUGCAAGUCGAGCGGUAAGGCCCUUUCGGGGUACGACGAGCGGCGAACGGGUGAGUAACACGUGGGUGACCUGCCCUCAGCUCUGGGAUAAGCCUGGGAAACUGGGUCUAAUACCGGAUAUGACUCCAUGACGCAUGUUGUGGGGUGGAAAGCCUUGUGCGGCUGAGGAUGGGCCCGCGGCCUAUCAGCUUGUUGGUGGGGUGAGGCCUACCAAGGCGACGACGGGUAGCCGGCCUGAGAGGGCGACCGGCCACACUGGGACGUGAGACACGGCCCACGACUCCUACGGGAGGCAGCAGUGGGGAAGUCUUGCGCAAUGGGCGAAAGCCUGACGCAGCGACGCCGCGUGAGGGAUGACGGCCU
rnacentral:rRNA from 1 species